rnacentral:rRNA from 1 species
AAUGAACGCUGGCGGCAUGCCUUACACAUGCAAGUCGAGCGGCAGCAUGACCUAGCUUGCUAGGUUGAUGGCGAGUGGCGAACGGGUGAGUAAUGCAUCGGAACGUGCCUUUUAGUGGGGGAUAACGUAGCGAAAGUUACGCUAAUACCGCAUAUUCUCUGAGGAGGAAAGCAGGGGGCCUUCGGGCCUUGCGCUAGAAGAGCGGCCGAUGUCGGAUUAGCUAGUUGGUGAGGUAAAGGCUCACCAAGGCAACGAUCCGUAGCGGGUCUGAGAGGAUGAUCCGCCACACUGGGACUGAGACACGGCCCAGACUCCUACGGGAGGCAGCAGUGGGGAAUUUUGGACAAUGGGCGCAAGCCUGAUCCAGCCAUGCCGCGUGAGUGAAGAAGGCCUUCGGGUUGUAAAGCUCUUUCGGCUGGGAAGAAAUCGCACUCUCUAAUACAGGGUGUGGAUGACGGUACCAGCAUAAGAAGCACCGGCUAACUACGUG